rnacentral:rRNA from 1 species
GUGAGGAAUAUUGCGCAAUGGGCGAAAGCCUGACGCAGCGACGCCGCGUGGAGGAUGAAGGUCUUCGGAUUGUAAACUUCUGUUAAGUGGGAAGAAAGGGCUGUUUUUAAUAGAAGCAGUUAAUGACGGUACCAUUAAAGAAAACACCGGCUAAACUCGUGCCAGCAGCCGCGGUAAUACGAGUGGUGCAAGCGUUAUUCGGAAUAAUUGGGCGUACAGGGUGUGUAGGCGGUAUGUUAAGUCUGUUGUUAAAGACUCCGGCCUAACCGGAGACAGGCAGCGGAAACUGGCGUACUAGAGGGUGGAAGAGAGAAGUGGAAUUCUCGGUGUAGCGGUAAAAUGCGUAGAUAUCGAGAGGAACACCGAUGGCGAAGGCAGCUUCUUGGUCCAUACCUGACGCUGAAACACGAAAGCGUGGGGAGCAAACAGGAUUAGAUACCCGUGUAGUCC